UACGUAGGGUGCGAUCGUUGUCCGGAAUUACUGGGCGUAAAGAGCUCGUAGGUGGUUUGUCACGUCGUCUGUGAAAUUCCGGGGCUUAACCUCGGGCGUGCAGGCGAUACGGGCAAUACUUGAGUGCUGUAGGGGAGACUGGAAUUCCUAGUGUAGCGGUGAAAUGCGCAGAUAUCAGGAGGAACACCAAUGGCGAAGGCAGGUCUCUGGGCAGUUACUGACGCUGAGGAGCGAAAGCAUGGGUAGCGAACAGGAUUAGA
rnacentral:rRNA from 1 species